AAAGGUCCCAUGGGUCUAGCUUAAUAAGCUUCAUUGUUACGAUGUCGUUACAGUUCCCGCCUCCGCAACUGUCUCUCUCUCUCUCUCUUCCCUACGUAUUCGUUUCAAUUUUCGCGUCUGCUUCUUCGUCACAUCUUUUUCUCCAUAGGAAUAUGUAUAAAGUCCCAAGGAUAUAUGAAUCACAGCUGUCGGAAAGGGGUAAUCACGCAAUUUACUCUGUCAAUUGCUUAUUGGGGUUUAGGGAGCAGGAUGAUGGCGAGGUCUUUGAAGGAUUUCACACGAAAUUAAGGCUAUAAGAAGAAAAACAAGAUAUUUAGAGGCCAUUUACAAGACUUUGACUACUCAUUUUACUUGUGGAGUCUUGGUUGUAUGUUUUACAGAAUGACAAUAAUGAUCAACUUGUGAAGACUGUCAAGGAUACAGUGGCUGAACCAAGGACUUUACUAAGAGGAUCCAAAAUAUAAAGAGCAAACAUACAACCCAUGCAUUUUUGCCUCUGAAGGGGUGCAAGAUGAGGAUCUAACUCCAAUUGGUACUUGCUUACAUGUAAUGGCGGAGCCACAUGCAUCCAAGGAGUGUCAACCGAUACCCUUUUGCCAAAAAAUUACACUGUGUAGAUACGAAAAAAGAUUUUUUUUAUGUAUAUAUAUUAUGUGUUGAAUUCCUUUAAUUUCGUCGUAUAUUUACUUUUUUAUAUUUUACAACCUCUUUGUAAAAAUUCUAGUUUACAUGGGGAUCUAAGUAGGCGUUUGGCCAUGAAAACCAAAACUUAUUCACUUUAUUUGGAAUUUUGAAGUUAGAGUUGAA